AUUGAACGCUGGCGGAAUGCUUUACACAUGCAAGUCGAACGGCAGCGCGGGGCAACCUGGCGGCGAGCGGCGAACGGGUGAGUAACACAUCGGAACGUGCCCAGACGUGGGGGAUAGCCCGGCGAAAGCCGGAUUAAUACCGCAUGUGAUCUGAGGAUGAAAGUGGGGGACCGCAAGGCCUCACGCGUUUGGAGCGGCCGAUGGCAGAUUAGGUAGUUGGUGGGGUAAAGGCUUACCAAGCCUGCGAUCUGUAGCUGGUCUGAGAGGAUGAUCAGCCACACUGGGACUGAGACACGGCCCAGACUCCUACGGGAGGCAGCAGUGGGGAAUUUUGGACAAUGGGCGCAAGCCUGAUCCAGCCAUUCCGCGUGCAGGACGAAGGCCUUCGGGUUGUAAACUGCUUUUGUACGGAACGAAAGGGCUCUGGUUAAUACCUGGGGCAUAUGACGGUACCGUAAGAAUAAGCACCGGCUAACUACGUG
rnacentral:rRNA from 1 species